rnacentral:ncRNA from 1 species
CAUCGUGAGGUGGAAUCUGAAGGAAGGCCGAGGCAAACCUCUGUACCGAGGAACACGAACCAAAUCAGGCUUGCGAUGAUGAUAAGUGUGCAAAACAACACGAAGUCAGAUAGAGUUGCGGAUGAGCAUCGUAAGUAAAUUUGGCGGGUC